rnacentral:lncRNA from 1 species
UAUUACCAAUGCUAUUUAAACUGAUCGGGCGGAGCUUACAUUUUAAUUUGCAUAGGGACAGUCUAUUUGAAGAUGUGUGUGAUAAGGAUGAUUACCGUUAUAAUUAUUACUGAUUUCUAAUCACCUAUCAGUAUCAUCAAAGAAAUUUACAAAACAAUGACCGGACACUUCAUUGAUGAGUUUAUCCGAAAACACCUAUCUAUAGAUGGACUGGUUUAUUAUGAGCGAACUGGUUAAACUCCGCCCAGUCAAGUGAAAUAAAUCGAG